AUUCAGGAAGACGGCAGCAAAACAAACUUGUUGGCGCGGUUUUGAGAGAGCGGGUGAGCAGUGAGAAAGAUGAAGCGGAGUUAUCUGAGUGGAGCGGAGAAGAGAAGAAGGCGAGAAGAAAAUAAACAGUUUUUAUCAAAACUACCGAAGGUAUCAACCUUUUUCACGGUGACACCGAGUGGGGAUUCUCUGCAACAGCGAGAGCUAGAUGCUGCUGUCAGUAGCAGCUCUGCUGUCAGUGUCAGCCGAGGAGAUGUGGCGAGUGAAGCAAGGGAUUCUUUUCAUGAAGAUAAACGCAACAUACAACUUCAUCCAGGCUGAACCUGCUGCUGCUGCCACACUAAAGACGUGUUGAGACGACUGCGACACCGACAACAAGAAACAAGAGAAUCAGCAGUGCUCCGAGCACACCGCCUAUUAGCGGGAGCUUACCUGUUUUGAGCAAAAAAGACACACAAAGCACAGACCUUCAGACAUCACUGACAUCAUUCCUGACAGAGCAGACCAGAUAUCCUGAGACAUCUGCUUUCAGAGUGAUGUUUUCAGACUCAGUAUUUCCAGAGAGAAGAUCAUCGUCUGUCAGUUCACGUCCAUCCAGAGUCCAUCUGUACUGAGGAUGGUCUCCUCCCACAGAGGAGCAGGACACCCUCAUCUCUCCCUGUAGACACUCAGAGACCAGCAGCACAGAGGACACAGGAGCUGAGAGACACACAGGCAGAGGACUUUGGGUGUUACAGCAGAAUAAUGCUCAUUCUUUAGGAUUUAUCAUGAAGAGCAAAGAAGACACAGAAGACAGAUAAAUGCAGAACACAAGAUAUAUGAUGUGGAUUAUCAGCAGAAUGUGAGAUUUGGAUCAGUAUCAAUGUGGUUUAAUAUGUGUGCAGGAAAAACUCAUUUACCUUGAACAGACAAAUGUAGAGUUAUUUCUCCUAAGUUCUCUAGAUCUGCAUUCUCCAUUUUAAGUUUAUAUUCUCCGAUGUCAUUCCUGCUCAGAUCAUUGAUCCUGAAUGUUCCAUUACUGGGAGUAAAAACAGAUCUGCUUGAUAGUACAUUAGUUAUAAUGUUAUUCUUUAACCCUAAGAGGAUUAUAGUUGAUUUGUGUGACCAUUCAUAUCUAAAUAUUUCUGAGGCACUGUCCAUCAGCUGGAGGUUCACAGUUCCUCCCAAAGCUCCAUAACACUGAGCUCCAUCCUUCCUGCCAUCACAGGAUGUUUCCAAACCUGCAAAUGAAAAGAAAAAGUGUUUUCAAAGAAAAAUGAAAAUAUUGCACAUUUGUGUGUUCUUUCUGGUUGAAUCAUGUAAAUAUUGACCUAAAAUAGAAACAGUGGUUUUGCUGCAGCCAAGUGUCUCUCAGAGCGCUCCAUGCAAAUAUACAUGUAUUGUUGUUCAGCUCAGCUUUAUACAGGACUGUGAGGGGAACACAUUUAGAGUAUUGAGUUAACACAGAAAAAGAAAUUAGUAAACAUGAUACAUUUCCCUGCAAACACAAGCUUGUUUCACAGAGGACAUUUUAACACCCCAACAGGAAAACCACAAGUGUAUAUAAAUAAAUGAAUGAUGAAUCUGUUUAACUGUGUCAGCUGCAGGGUUGUGCUGCCUCACUGUAACAUAAAACAGAACAAUUAAUCACAAACAAUGUUCUAUAUGUUUGGUUGUUUAUUUAAUCAUCCUAAUGAAUAAAUAAAAUAUCUGUUUAUCUAAACUUUCUUUAUGUUUACAAAGUCUGACUUGUAGAAGAGACCCCAAAAAGCUUAAAAUGAUUCAAAUGGUGGUUAGAAUAUUUCAGUAUCUGUACAGUAGCAAAAUGUCUGUAAACAUCAUUUAACUGCAAUAUUCUGAAAGUUAUCCAGUGUUUUUCCUAAAGAAUUAAAUAAAGGUCUAACCUUCAAAGAACAA